CCAUUGAAUUUGAACUCUCUAUUUUGUUGCAACCUUGAUUACUGCUGUGAGGAUUACUAAUGUCACUGUUACUGGAGUAUCAUUGGAAUUGACGUCGCUAUUGCCCUGAUUAAUGCUGCUCCCUUCCCGUAUUUCUUUUGUUGUUGUUGCUGCUACUAGAGUUAUGGGUGAUGCCGCUGCUGUUCCGGUUGUGUUGGAAUGACUACUGCUGCCGCGAAUUAGGAAUAGAGGAAAUGGUUAUAUUAAAUAAUACGAUUGCGACAUCGAGGAACCAGAUGAAGCAUUAUGAAGAGUUAUACUGCGUUUGG